rnacentral:rRNA from 1 species
UACAGAGGGUGCGAGCGUUAAUCGGAAUUACUGGGCGUAAAGCGCGCGUAGGCGGCCUUGCAAGCCGGAUGUGAAAUCCCCGGGCUUAACCUGGGAACUGCAUUCGGGACUGCAUUGCUAGAGUAUGGGAGAGGGGAGUGGAAUUUCAGGUGUAGCGGUGAAAUGCGUAGAUAUCUGAAGGAACAUCAGUGGCGAAAGCGACUUCCUGGACCAAUACUGACGCUCAUGUGCGAAAGCGUGGGGAGCAAACAGG